AAUACACACUUGACCACUAACACACACUGCCAACCCCAAAUGUUGAGUGUGGAAGUAAUUGUCUGGUCACUGUUUGCAACGGGACGGCGCCCCUGCCUGCCUGGCGAGCCGCUGCACCUCAGAUGUUUCCUGGGACUGGGUGGCGCGUGGACAAGUGUGUGCCUUGACUCGUGUGUGGGGGUGACUGUGGUGAUUAGUGACUCUCUGCUGAUUAAUUACUGGUGGUACUCUUAUUCUGCGUAUCUCAGGACAUCAGUAACUUAGCUGUGUGUGCGUGUCGCAAAAUGACAUACACGUAAUCCACUACAUCAUUGAAGUGUCCUUAACUACGCUUCAAAACAACUGACCCCUCGGAGUAACGAGGUGGUGUCGUCUCUCAUUAGCACAUUAGAGCCACGCGUCUCCUCUCCGACCAGUCCUCGCCCCUGGAGUUCUCGGCGCCCCGCUACUGUGCCGCCCUGCCCGAGGACAGCCCCUUGGCGGCCGUGGUAGGCACCCUCACCGCCACACACACGCAUGGCGCUGAGAUCAAGUACAGCAUCACGGGCGGCAACGUUGGGGGCCUCUUCACCAUCGACCAGCGCUCCGGCACCGUUACGCUGGCCGUCGCCCUGGACCACGAGCUCAGUCACCAGCACCAGUUGGAGGUCACGGCGGAGGCAGGAGGAGCUGCAGCCCGCGCCCAGCUGGUGGUGCAGGUCGGGGACGUCAAUGACAACGCCCCUGAAUUCGUACGUCCCGCCCCGCGCAUCACGGUUAUUGAGGAGGAUGACAGGGACUUGCCCGCCACUAUUGCCAGAGUGAGUACUGGCUGACUUUCUAAUAACAGACUUCAUAGCCACUAUUGCCAGGGAAAGUAUUGGCUAACUUUCUCCUCACACUUGCUCGCUACUGUUACUAAGGUGAAUUUUGAACAGACUUCAGGAAAGACACAAGAGGCAAGACUAAGUUUGUACGGACACGUCAUUAAGAGCGAUGGAAAAAGCGAUGAGAAGGUGCUCUAGAUAUGAUAGUACAAGGAAAAGACAGAGAGGAAGAAACAAGGUAAGGUGGAAAGAUUGUGUAGCAGCGAACAUGAGGGAGAAGGGUCUGGAUACUGACAGGGUAGCGACACAGGCAGGUGGUGGCGGCUCAUGAGAAACAGCGACCGCGUAUAAAGAUUGGAUGAUAGAGGUGACGAAGAAGACUCUCUCCACCGUCACUGGAGUAAAUGCUGGCAAACUCUCUAAUAGCAGACACUCCCGUCACGAUCGCUACAGUACUGGCUAAAUUUCUAAAGGCACACUUG